rnacentral:lncRNA from 1 species
CCCAUAGGAAUGCAUGGGUUAGGGUUUGGGUUAGGGUUGGAGCUAGGGUUAGGGUUAGGGUUAGGGAGUUAGGGUUAGUGUUGGAGCUAGGGUUAGGGUUGGGCUUGGAGCUAGGAUUUUUCUGAGUGCAAUGAACCAACUCCCGAGUCUCUAGGACGUUCCUAAAAAAAUUUGAUUUUUUCCCAUAGGAAUGCAUGGGUUAGGGUUAGGGUUAGGGUUGGAGCUAGGGUUAGGGUUAGGGUUAGGGUUGGAGUUAGGGUUAGUGUUGGAGCUAGGGUUAGGGUUGGGCUUGGAGCUAGGAUUUUUCUGAGUGCAAUGAACCAACUCCCGAGUCUCUAGGACGUUCCUAAAAAAAUUUGAUUUUUUCCCAUAGGAAUGCAUGGGUUAGGGUUUGGGUUAGGGUUGGAGCUAGGGUUAGGGUUAGGGUUAGGGUUGGAGUAAGGGUUAGUGUUGGAGCUAGGGUUAGGGUUGGGCUUGGAGCUAGGAUUUUUCUGAGUGCAAUGAACCAACUCCCGAGUCUCUAGGACGUUCCUAAAAAAAUUUGAUUUUUUUCCCAUAGGAAUGCAUGGGUUAGGGUUAGGGUUAGGGUUGGAGCUAGGGUUAGGGUUAGGGUUAGGGUUGGAGUUAGGGUUAGUGUUGGAGCUAGGGUUAGUGUUGGGCUUGGAGCUAGGAUUUUUCUGAGUGCAAUGAACCAACUCCCGAGUCUCUAGGACGUUCCUAAAAAAAUUUGAUUUUUUCCCAUAGGAAUGCAUGGGUUAGGGUUAGGGUUAGGGUUGGAGCUAGGGUUAGGGUUAGGGUUAGGGUUGGAGUUAGGGUUGGAGCUAGGGUUAGGGUUGGGCUUGGAGCUAGGAUUUUUCUGAGUGCAAUGAACCAACUCCCGAGUCUCUAGGACGUUCCUAAAAAAAUUUGAUUUUUUCCCAUAGGAAUGCAUGGGUUAGGGUUAGGGUUAGGGUUGGAGCUAGGGUUAGGGUUAGGGUUAGGGUUGGAGUUAGGGUUAGUUGUUGGAGCUAGGGUUAGGGUUGGGCUUGGAGCUAGGAUUUUUCUGAGUGCAAUGAACCAACUCCCGAGUCUCUAGGACGUUCCUAAAAAAAUUUGGAUUUUUUCCCAUAGGAAUGCAUGGGUUAGGGUUAGGGUUAGGGUUGGAGCUAGGGUUAGGGUUAGGGUUAGGGUUGGAGUUAGGGUUAGUGUUGGAGCUAGGGUUAGGGUUGGGCUUGGAGCUAGGAUUUUUCUGAGUGCAAUGAACCAACUCCCGAGUCUCUAGGAUGUUCCUAAAAAAAUUUGAUUUUUUCCCAUAGGAAUGCAUGGGUUAGGGUUAGGGUUAGGGUUGGAGCUAGGGUUAGGGUUAGGGUUAGGGUUGGAGUUAGGGUUAGUGUUGGAGCUAGGGUUAGGGUUGGGCUUGGAGCUAGGAUUUUUCUGAGUGCAAUGAACCAACUCCCGAGUCUCUAGGACGUUCCUAAAAAAAUUUGAUUUUUUCCCAUAGGAAUGCAUGGGUUAGGGUUAGGGUUAGGGUUGGAGCUAGGGAUAGGGUUAGGGUUAGGGUUGGAGUUAGGGUUAGUGUUGGAGCUAGGGUUAGGUGUGGGCUUGGAGCUAGGAUUUUUCUGAGUGCAAUGAACCAACUCCGGAGUCUCUAGGACGUUCCUAAAAAAAUUUGAUUUUUUCCCAUAGGAAUGCAUGGGUUAGGGUUAGGGUUAGGGUUGGAGCUAGGGUUAGGGUUAGGGUUAGGGUUGGAGUUAGGGUUGGAGCUAGGGUUAGGGUUGGGCUUGGAGCUAGGAUUUUUCUGAGUGCAAUGAACCAACUCCCGAGUCUCUAGGACGUUCCUAAAAAAAUUGGAUUUUUUCCCAUAGGAAUGCAUGGGUUAGGGUUAGGGUUAGGGUUGGAGCUAGGGUUAGGGUUAGGGUUAGGGUUGGAGUUAGGGUUAGUGUUGGAGCUAGGGUUAGGGUUGGGCUUGGAGCUAGGAUUUUUCUGAGUGCAAUGAACCAACUCCCGAGUCUCUAGGACGUUCCUAAAAAAAUUUGAUUUUUUCCCAUAGGAAUGCAUGGGUUAGGGUUAGGGUUAGGGUUGGAGCUAGGGUUAGGGUUAGGGUUAGGGUUGGAGUUAGGGUUAGUGUUGGAGCUAGGGUUAGGGUUGGGCUUGGAGCUAGGAUUUUUCUGAGUGCAAUGAACCAACUCCCGAGUCUCUAGGACGUUCCUAAAAAAAUUUGAUUUUUUCCCAUAGGAAUGCAUGGGUUAGGGUUAGGGUUAGGGUUGGAGCUAGGGUUAGGGUUAGGGUUAGGGUUGGAGUUAGGGUUAGUGUUGGAGCUAGGGUUAGGGUUGGGCUUGGAGCUAGGAUUUUUCUGAGUGCAAUGAACCAACUCCCGAGUCUCUAGGACGUUCCUAAAAAAAUUUGAUUUUUUCCCAUAGGAAUGCAUGGGUUAGGGUUAGGGUUAGGGUUGGAGCUAGGGUUAGGGUUAGGGUUAGGGUUGGAGUUAGGGUUAGUGUUGGAGCUAGGGUUAGGGUUGGGCUUGGAGCUAGGAUUUUUCUGAGUGCAAUGAACCAACUCCCGAGUCUCUAGGACGUUCCUAAAAAAAUUUGAUUUUUUCCCAUAGGAAUGCAUGGGUUAGGGUUUGGGUUAGGGUUGGAGCUAGGGUUAGGGUUAGGGUUAGUGUUGGAGCUAGGGUUAGGGUUGGGCUUGGAGCUAGGAUUUUUCUGAGUGCAAUGAACCAACUCCCGAGUCUCUAGGACGUUCCUAAAAAAAUUGGAUUUUUUUCCAUAGGAAUGCAUGAGUUAGGGUUAGGGUUAGGGUUGGAGCUAGGGUUAGGGUUGGAGUUAGGGUUAGUGUUGGAGCUAGGGUUAGGGUUGGGCUUGGAGCUAGGAUUUUUCUGAGUGCAAUGAACCAACUCCCGAGUCUCUAGGACGUUCCUAAAAAAAAUUGAUUUUUUUCCAUAGGAAUGCAUGGGUUAGGGUAAGGGUUAAGGUUGGAGCUAGGGUUAGGGAUAGGGUUAGGUUUAGGGUGGAGCUAGGGUUAGGGUUAGGGUUAGAGCUAGGGUUAGGGUUAGGGUUAGGGUUAAGAUUGGAGCUAGGGUUAGGGUUAGGGUUGGAGCCAGGGUUAGGGUUAGGGUUAGGGUUGGAGUUGGAGUUAGGGUUAGUGUUGGAGUUAGGGUUAGGGUUGGGCUUGGAGCUAGGAUUUUUCUGAGUGCAAUGAACCAACUCCGGAGUCUCUAGGACGUUCCUAAAAAAAUUUGAUUUUUUCCCAUAGGAAUGCAUGGGAAAAAAAAAAAUGAAAAAUUUUGUAAGUGCCAACCCAAUUUUUCACCUUCCAGAAUUGUGUUAGGAGCACGUUUCAGGGCACGGGGAGUCUAUAGAACCUAAUUCUGGGGGAAGUUUUUUUAAAAGUUUACUUAGGGUUUGGGUUAGGGUUAGGGUUGGAGCUAGGGUUAGGGUUAGGGUUAAGGUUGGAGCUAGGGUUAGGGUUAGGGUUAGGGUUAGGGUUGGAGCUAGGGUUAGGGUUAGGGUUAGAGCUAGGGUUAGGGUUAGGGUUGGGGCUAGGGUUAGGGUUAGGGUUGGAGUUGGAGUUAGGGUUAGUGUUGGAGCUAGGGUUAGGGUUGGGCUUGGAGCUAGGAUUUUUCUGAGUGCAAUGAACCAACUCCCGAGUCUCUAGGACGUUCCUAAAAAAAUUUGAUUUUUUCCCAUAGGAAUGCAUGGGAAAUAAAAAUUGAAAAAUUUUGUAAGUGCCAACCCAAUUUUUCACCUUCCAGAAUUGUGUUAGGAGCACGUUUCAGGGCACGGGGAGUCUAUAGAACCUAAUUCUGGGGGAAGUUUUUUGAAAAGUUUACUUAGGGUUUGGGUUAGGGUUAGGGUUGGAGCUAGGGUUAGGGUUAGGGUUAAGGUUGGAGCUAGGGUUAGGGUUAGGGUUAGGGUUAGGGUUGGAGCUAGGGUUAGAGCUAGGGUUAGGGUUAGGGUUGGGGCUAGGGUUAGGGUUAGGGUUAAUUAAUGAGAUGUGACAUAGACUCAAGAGCUGUAUGCAAAGAUUGUUUAACAAAAGUACUCCUCACAGGGAAAAGUUGGAGCAACUUCUCCUGUUCUUUCUUCCAGCUGAGCGCAGUUCGAACUUCGACUCUUGAUCAUUUUGCUCACUUGCCUAAUCAGACUCUUUGUAAUUGCAGCAGGCAAAGUGGGAACUAGUGGCAGUGGGGGUGUGACAGAGGCCUGGCAGGACAGAUAGAGAUAGCACAGGGGAUGGGAAAGCCUCAUGAGGCCUUCAGGUUGAGCCCCCUCUACAGCGGGAUCAGGCUGUGAGGUUUUCAUACCGACUGUGCCAGCUAAUACAUCUAGAGGCUUUUGAAAUAUUCUGAAGCAGAAGAAGUUCAGACCUGAAAUGGCACUGGAUCAGAGACAAAAUUAUACCGGAAUGUCAUGGGAAGUGCAGACAUUUUACGUAAGGGAAAGUGUCAAUUAAAAAAGUAAGCAGGACUUAAUAACUUUUGUUAAAAAAUGCCACAAACAUGAUGAUGUUUUUCACCACAAAAACCGUGAUUAAUAAUUGUUUGUUUUCUGACUUAUGAAGCAACCCUGAUCCCAUGAGCACAACAAACAAAAUUGUAUUUUGAAGCAGGAAGUAACAAGCAGCAAUGGGAAACAGGGCAUCUUGUUACCCUUGAAAUUACUUUUCUAGCUGUGCUCACUUCAUAAGAAAUAAUAUACUAAUACUUUUUGGCACCACUGUGUAAUCGAUUCUGGUUAUGCAUCCCAUCCCGAAGAGGAGCUGUCUGCACCUCCACUUCGUGCUGAUGUGAUCUGUAUGCUGUUAUGUUGACAAACUUCAGUUCUGUCCACAUAAGCUGGGAGGGAAAUGCUCCUUUUAUAGUUGAUGAUGAAGCCCAUACAAGAUAAAUGUUAUUAAAGCUCCCUAGGAUUGAAUGCAUGUCUCUCUAUCUGCUGAGAAGAAGCACGAGAAACAUGUGGAUAAACAGCAACUUCAUUCCAGUCUUGUGUCUUAUGGCUCGAGACUGACUUUUCAGGCUAUUAUAUGUCUGAACUGGGUCAUUCAUGUUAUGACAAGGCUACGAUGAUUUAUUAAUUAGCUGUAGGCUUCGUAUGUGUGCAGUUUCAUUAGCUUUUGCUAUAAUAGGUUCAAACACACUAUCUUCAAUGUCAUGCUCUGUUGCACUCAUUAUUGCCAUGAUUCAACUUCUCCACUGAGACAUGGGCUCGCUGUGUGGCCUACUGGCUAUUCUGUCACAAUGUUAUUAGCACAGAGGUCUCAUGUCUAAUUUGUCUAAUGUUUGUGAAUUGGGAAUAUUUUACUUGAAGCUCAUUUCAUGAAAUAAUUUUGACCUGAAUGUGCGCACAUCAGCUGAUUCGGGUACAACAGAGAACCAUGAAGCUGGUGACUUUGAAGCAGUUUGUAUUUCUUCCAGAAUUAGACAAUUUCUUUUGUUUCAUUGUGUCAGUUCAGCUCAAACCUUACUGACAAUUACAUUUUUUUUAAAUACCAACAAAGUACUCUGGGAUACCUUUUUGGACAAGUAAGUUGCAGAAGUCAAACAAUCUUAGAAUACUGUGUUUGAAGCCAGCAAGUUGAACAAAAAAAAUCCAACUAAAGGAGUCCAGGCACAGACUCAUGAAAAAUCAAUGUAGGCCAUCAUGACUCUCUGUAGCUCAGAGGUUACAGAGUAAGUCUACUUCACAAUUCAGGGUUCACUGAGACUUAAAAGUACAAACGGAGAGUCUCCCCCUACGAAAGAGGAUUAGGGCCACAUGAAGCCAAGGACCCAAUGCGCUCUGGCACAUGGAUGGCUAUGACAAAUUUAAGCUAUAUGGCAUUUCAUUUCAACUUUAAUCUUGAAAUUUCAACUUUAAUCUUGAAAUGGAAAUCAAAAAAAUCACCCUCCUGUAAUUAUUUUUUCCCCUUCAUGUGGCCCUUAUUCCUCCUUCCCCCCAGAAUAUUUCAGGUGUCAAACACUAAACUUCAAGCAAAUGGUGAACAUCUAUGCAGUUUGUGAUGGACAGUCAAUAUCUUAAAGAAAAAAAAAUACACAAUAUUGAUGAUAUUGAAAAAUAUGAGUACUUUCUGCACACAUUUUAUUUAUUCAUUUAUUUAUUUGAUUAGAACAAUGCACAUUGAUCAACCUAUUAACAUAAGCAUCAAAGUAACUAUGCCAGAGUUAGCAUACAGACAAUAUACUGGAUACAACAUGUACUGUUUAUAUACACAUGUCUAUAUACACAUUUUGUAGUAAAUCUGAUCUCUCUCUUAAAGGGACAGGUAUCUCAAAUGAUCAAUCUCCUUUAUGUUGCAAGGACAUCAUUGCUCUAAUGAUCCCACUGUGAUUCCUAUUUAAAUGAGCACAGCUGUUCUCUCUGGUAAGUUAUAUGCAGCUAUUGAAAAAAUGUCAAUCUGUUUAUCUGCAAAUGUCAUGUUAGCUGUUGCAAAUAUUGUGCAGCUUUAGGAUAAAAAGAGCCCAUAAGUAUGUUCUUAAAUCAUCAUGUGGUUGCUAUAGUGAUGCAGAUUCAUAUGAUUUUCUCAUUUAUCAAGAACAGUUUCGCUGUACUGCACAAAAACAGAAUAAGUAUGUGAGAAGACGUGAUUCUUGUUUCUUUACAUUUAUACAUUGAGAGUCAGUAUGGAUAUAUGUGGUGAGUCAGGUGUAGAUUUCUUUGUUGACAUCAAGAUUAACGAUGAAGCCUACAUGAAAUCCAUAUUCACACUGGCAACCAUCUUGACUCUAUGGAUAAAAAAAUCUGUGCUCCCAUCUGUGCAUGGAAGAAAAAGCAAACAUGGUUGGAUUAAUCACUUGCACUUUCUUUUCAUGCAAAGCAUUGUUUUAACCUACAGGUGGAGGUAACAGUCAUGAUGCUAAGACAGGUUUACAACAGCACUCUGUAGGUGUUGUGAUGUUCUUUGAGUCAUUCUCGUUGUAUCCACAGAUUCAGGAACUUUCCAGUCGGAUGUCAGGAGCAGUGCUGUUUUGUGUUUCGCUGAGAGUUGGCUGCACCCUGUAGUGCCAAGCUGUUUUAGUAUUGUUGUUGUGUUGUGCUGGCAGAACAGACGGCUGGUGAGAAAAACAGAGAUGUCUGACAGUAUUACAAAGACUUAAACUGCUGUCAUCCUGAUUAUGGGCUCAUUGAUGCUGGAAAAUAUAUAAAAACAGCUGAGAGAGUAAUAAUUUAUUGUAACUGUUUUAUGGCUGAUAAACAAAAUCUGCAUCUAACUUAAUAAAUUUGCAAACUGUGAAAGAACUGAGGCAAAAAAAAUAGUUACAAAAGGCUCAUGAGUUAAGACUCAGUGAUAUGGCAUUCAGCCAAACCCCCCAUGUAACCCUCCGGUGUUAUUCUUUUGUUAAUUGUAGUACCACCUGCCCUGUUCCAAACCUCUCCCAGCAUCAGGUAUUCAGGUGUGAGCUAAUUUGUCAAGGAAAUUAGUCACAUGUAUCUGAGUAGUUUGGCAGAAAGGUUAUAGUUGGUUUGUUAGAGGGGGUUUGCUGCUAUUUCUUGCUGUGUACUGACCUGAUAGACCCCAGCUCCGGCUGGUAUCAGAAGUGUUUGGUAGUACAGCUCCAGCUCCUUAGUUCAGCCUUAUAUUGUUUUAGGGAGGUGUAAAAACAUGUCAGAAAGGUGCACCGAAGUGAUGCUAAUAAAAAAUGUUGCUAAUAAAAAGGGAGUUCUUUGGGAGGACUGUUUGUUUUUGUCUUGUCUAACAUUUGGGCUGGUCUAGUUAGUUACUAAAUCCCCUUAGCAUCCACUCUUGGGUGUUUUGAUUCUUUCUCACACAAAGUGGGUUUUAUUUUUCUAGUGUCUGGUUAUUUUGCUAUUAUUUUCUUCUUGCUAAUACAUAGGAAGGUAUUUCUUAGCACCCUUUGAACACCCCUUUAGUGAGGUUUUUCUUCCUUUCUCAGUCACAGGGUAUCAGUCCAUAGAACUCUUUCUUCCAA